rnacentral:rRNA from 1 species
UUGCCAGACUCCUACGGGAGGCAGCAGUGAGGAAUAUUGGUCAAUGGCCGAGAGGCUGAACCAGCCAAGUCGCGUGAGGGAUGACGGCCCUACGGGUUGUAAACCUCUUUUGUCGGGGAGCAAAGAGAGUCACGUGUGGCUCAUUGAGAGUACCCGAAGAAAAAGCAUCGGCUAACUCCGUGCCAGCAGCCGCGGUAAUACGGAGGAUGCGAGCGUUAUCCGGAUUUAUUGGGUUUAAAGGGUGCGCAGGCGGAGGUGCAAGUCAGCGGUAAAAAUUCGGGGCUCAACCCCGUCCGGCCGUUGAAACUGGGGGCCUUGAGUGGGCGAGAAGAAGGCGGAAUGCGUGGUGUAGCGGUGAAAUGCAUAGAUAUCACGCAGAACCCCGAUUGCGAAGGCAGCCUUCCGGCGCCCUACUGACGCUGAGGCACGAAAGUGCGGGGAUCGAACAGGAUUAGAUACCCCAGUA